GCGCCUCCGCCCGCCCCGCCGGGCCCUGCCUGGUCCUGCCGGGCCCCCGGGCCUGGCCGGGCCCCCUCCUGCGGCUCUGCCCCGCGCCCCGUCCCGGGCCGCCGCCGCCGCGCAGGCAGCCGGUGCCCCCCUCGCCUGAGGGAAGCCGCCCCCUGCGCUGAGAGGCCGCUGCGCUGCCCCAGCAGGAGCUGCGGCUCGAUCGGUCAAAGAGUCAAAUCAGCCGAAAAAAAAGAAGCUUAGGUUGUACUUCCCACUCUUUGUCCAGCCUACCAAACCCAGGUUUUCCAUGAGAGAAGUGAGAAUGCACAGAUGCUGUGGAACUGAGACAAAUAAAAAUACUUCAUGCAUGGAUGGGAAGACUGUCAUCUAGAAAUACUAAGCCGUGACAGAUUGCCAGAACUUUUCUUGAGAGGACUUCCUGAUGGAGUUUUGCUAAAGAGGCCCCAUAAAAGAAGCAGCAGCAGCAGCAAAUGGAGUGACCCUACAGGUGCAAGCUGCAGUUGCCUCUCCAGUCUUCCCAAUAAGAUUUGUUGAAACUCUCUGUUUCACAACGUCUUUAUUGGUAAUGGAUCCCUCCCUUAAUUUGCACUGAUGCAUUUGGAAUGUCAGCUUCCAAAACAAGGCACAUGGGAGGCAUUUAAAGUAGAUUUUUUGAAAGGGAAAUGAACAAAGAGCAUGUCAAGUUCAAUUUUGAUUUGCAUGACAAAUCCAGCAUGCAGUGUUCUAGUGGGUCGGGCUGGGCUUGCCUGCCACUCACUGCAUUUGUCACUUGGGUCUGAGCACUUUUGACAGUCCGUUAUGUUAAUUGCUCUAAGGAUUGUUUUGCCAGGGGAAGAAAAGGAAAGGCAUUUUUUAUUUUUGGUUUGUUGGGUUUUUUCCCAUUGACAGGAAAGAGGAGAUAUCUGAGGAGCAGAAAAUGUUUUCAAUCUGUUUGUGAUCUGUUUUAUUUGUAAAUAAUCUUACGGGGUCAUCAGCAAGUUCAGUAUUUUAAAUCUUAUUGUAACUCACUGCGUGUUUUUUGAGUGGGAAAUACUAGGCCCCUAAAGUAGAAACUUGGGGAGUCUAUUGUUUUGGUGCACUCCAUUCUUUCUUCGAGUCCCACAGUGAUGGGUCCUGCAGAGUGGUUUGUGCUGUGCCUGUGUGCUUCUAUUGGAUGAUAUUGUGGUGCUUUGACAAGUGCUAACAAGGGAUUUAAUGCUUUAAGAGGCAUUGUUGGACACACAUUGUUACUGGUAUGUGGAUGGUAUGUGAGUAACUCCCACAUGUGUCAAAGACCUGGUGGUAGAUACGUGCUUAUGACUGAAUUCUCCUGGAGGCACACUUCAGGGUGGAGGUUGCUGUUGCCUCUUAGGGAACACACACUUCUCUAUCAUCUAUGUUAAAACAGUCAUGGAUUGCUUGGUGGUGGGUUUUGAGUUUCAAAGGUCAUAACUGAACUGCAGGUGUCAGAACACUGUAGAUUGAUCACAAACAAUGUUUUCAGACUGAUAGAAUGGUCAACCAAAAAGUUUCAGGAGAAGACUGUUUUUGUUGGUGUCGCUCUUUCACAGUUACUGUUUUUCAGCCAAAAGAGCUUAGUGUUGAAAGAAUGAGGAAAGUAAGGAGACAGAAUUUCCCAGAGGUUUCCAGGUAAUGGCUGACAUCUGCCUUUUAAUCUUUUAAUUCCUACACUGCACGUGGUGUUCUCAUUUACAUGUUGUGAUCUAGGUGCACCAUGACAGAUAAGCUCUAGAUACAAAAUGCUUUGUAGCAUAAAACAAUGCAGAAAUAUCAAAAUAAAUGAAGCUAAACAAUGAA